UGGGGUUUGAGCUCUCCAUUCUUCUCCUGUGAAGGCAGGUGAUACUGUAAUGAGUUAUUUGUUAAUUGGCCUAAUUAAGAAUAGAUUGUAGCCAGACAUAGAGUUUAUGAAGUGAUGUGAGAUUUCUAAAGGUCACUUUAAGAUUGCCAUGGAUUCUGAGUAGUCAGAGGAAGAGAAUUUUCCAGAGUGCCUUAGGAAAGGCAGUUGGAAAUAACGAUGCCACUUCUGGGAGAGAGACUCAGAGGAAAGUAGAUCCUGCUCUCUCACCUCCUGCUUGGGAGACUUCAGAGCCAAGUCCUGAAAGAACACAACUGGGGUGUGCCUCUGCUUUUUCCAGGUUUGACCUGGCUAGAACACAGUCCUGCAGGGGUGGAGGGGAUAUGAUCGAGGAGAGACUGAAUGAACACCCUACUACGGAAACCAACAGCAAGGAAAUGGGCUCCGGUUGAGGACGCAUGUGACACCCAGAGGAAUCACACAUUCCCAAUGGGAGGGGUGUGGGGGAGGGGGAGAAAAAAAAGUGAUCUUUGUUUCUAAUGAAUAAUGUUUGAAAAUGACCAAAUAAAAUAAUGUUUAAAAUUAAAAAAAAAAACUAG
rnacentral:lncRNA from 1 species